GUGGGGAAUCUUGCGCAAUGGGCGAAAGCCUGACGCAGCGACGCCGCGUGGGGGAAGAAGGCCUUCGGGUUGUAAACCUCUUUCAGGUGGGACGAAGCCACUCGGGUGAAUAGCCCAGAGGGUGACGGUACCUCCAGAAGAAGCCCCGGCUAACUACGUGCCAGCAGCCGCGGUAAUACGUAGGGGGCAAGCGUUGUCCGGAUUUAUUGGGCGUAAAGAGCGUGUAGGCGGCCUGGUAGGUCGGUUGUGAAAACUGGAGGCUUAACCUUCAGACGUCGACCGAAACCCCCAGGCUAGAGUCCGGAAGAGGAGAGUGGAAUUCCUGGUGUAGCGGUGAAAUGCGCAGAUAUCAGGAAGAACACCCGUGGCGAAGGCGGCUCUCUGGGACGGUACUGACGCUGAGACGCGAAAGCGUGGGGAGCGAACAGGAUUAGAAACCCGAGUAGUCC
rnacentral:rRNA from 1 species